rnacentral:rRNA from 1 species
UACGUGGGGGGCAAGCGUUGUCCGGAAUCAUUGGGCGUAAAGAGCGUGUAGGCGGCUUGGUAAGUCCGCUGUGAAAGUCCAGGGCUCAACCCUGGAAUGCCGGUGGAAACUGCCAAGCUUGAGUCCGGAAGAGGCGAGUGGAAUUCCUGGUGUAGCGGUGAAAUGCGCAGAUAUCAGGAGGAACACCAAUGGCGAAGGCAGCUCGCUGGGACGGUACUGACGCUGAGACGCGAAAGCGUGGGGAGCAAACAGG